GUUCCUGUAACGCAAUGGAUAGCGUGUUGGACGUCUAAUCCAAAGGUAGUGGAUUUGAGAAUCCCACCUGGGAUG